GAUGAACGCUGGCGGCGUGCCUAAUACAUGCAAGUCGAGCGAACAGACGAGGAGCUUGCUCCUCUGACGUUAGCGGCGGACGUGUGAGUAACACGUGGAUAACCUACCUAUAAGACUGGGAUAACUUCGGGAAACCGGAGCUAAUACCGGAUAAUAUAUUGAACCUCAUGGUUCAAUAGUGAAAGACGGUUUUGCUGUCACUUAUAGAUGUAUCCGCGCCGCAUUAGCUAGUUGGUAAGGUAACGGCUUACCAAGGCGACGAUGCGUAGCCGACCUGAGAGGGUGAUCGGCCACACUGGAACUGAGACACGGUCCAGACUCCUACGGGAGGCAGCAGUAGGGAAUCUUCCGCAAUGGGCGAAAGCCUGACGGAGCAACGCCGCGUGAGUGAUGAAGGUCUUCGGAUCGUAAAACUCUGUUAGUAGGGAAGAACAAAUGUGUAAGUAACUAUGCACGUCUUGACGGUACCUAAUCAGAAAGCCACGGCUAACUACGUG
rnacentral:rRNA from 1 species